GACGAACGCUGGCGGCGUGCCUAAUACAUGCAAGUCGAACGAACUCUGGUAUUGAUUGGUGCUUGCAUCAUGAUUUACAUUUGAGUGAGUGGCGAACUGGUGAGUAACACGUGGGAAACCUGCCCAGAAGCGGGGGAUAACACCUGGAAACAGAUGCUAAUACCGCAUAACAACUUGGACCGCAUGGUCCGAGCUUGAAAGAUGGCUUCGGCUAUCACUAUUGGAUGGUCCCGCGGCGUAUUAGCUAGAUGGUGGGGUAAUGGCUCACCAUGGCAAUGAUACGUAGCCGACCUGAGAGGGUAAUCGGCCACAUUGGGACUGAGACACGGCCCAAACUCCUACGGGAGGCAGCAGUAGGGAAUCUUCCACAAUGGACGAAAGUCUGAUGGAGCAACGCCGCGUGAGUGAAGAAGGGUUUCGGCUCGUAAAACUCUGUUGUUAAAGAAGAACAUAUCUGAGAGUAACUGUUCAGGUAUUGACGGUAUUUAACCAGAAAGCCACGGCUAACUACGUGCCAGCAGCCGCGGUAAUACGUAGGUGGCAAGCGUUGUCCGGAUUUAUUGGGCGUAAAGCGAGCGCAGGCGGUUUUUUAAGUCUGAUGUGAAAGCCUUCGGCUCAACCGAAGAAGUGCAUCGGAAACUGGGAAACUUGAGUGCAGAAGAGGACAGUGGAACUCCAUGUGUAGCGGUGAAAUGCGUAGAUAUAUGGAAGAACACCAGUGGCGAAGGCGGCUGUCUGGUCUGUAACUGACGCUGAGGCUCGAAAGUAUGGGUAGCAAACAGGAUUAGAUACCCUGGUAGUCCAUACCGUAAACGAUGAAUGCUAAGUGUUGGAGGGUUUCCGCCCUUCAGUGCUGCAGCUAACGCAUUAAGCAUUCCGCCUGGGGAGUACGGCCGCAAGGCUGAGACUCAAAGGAAUUGACGGGGGCCCGCACAAGCGGUGGAGCAUGUGGUUUAAUCCGAAGCUACGCGAAGAACCUUACCAGGUCUUGACAUACUAUGCAAAUCUAAGAGAUUAGACGUUCCCUUCGGGGACAUGGAUACAGGUGGUGCAUGGUUGUCGUCAGCUCGUGUCGUGAGAUGUUGGGUUAAGUCCCGCAACGAGCGCAACCCUUAUUAUCAGUUGCCAGCAUUAAGUUGGGCACUCUGGUGAGACUGCCGGUGACAAACCGGAGGAAGGUGGGGAUGACGUCAAAUCAUCAUGCCCCUUAUGACCUGGGCUACACACGUGCUACAAUGGAUGGUACAACGAGUUGCGAACUCGCGAGAGUAAGCUAAUCUCUUAAAGCCAUUCUCAGUUCGGAUUGUAGGCUGCAACUCGCCUACAUGAAGUCGGAAUCGCUAGUAAUCGCGGAUCAGCAUGCCGCGGUGAAUACGUUCCCGGGCCUUGUACACACCGCCCGUCACACCAUGAGAGUUUGUAACACCCAAAGUCGGUGGGGUAACCUUUUAGGAACCAGCCGCCUAAGGUGGGACAGAUGAUUAGGGUG
rnacentral:rRNA from 1 species